GCGGCAGCGACACUAUGUGUUGUUGGGUAGGGGAGCGUUCUGUAAGCCGUUGAAGGUGUGCUGUGAGGCAUGCUGGAGGUAUCAGAAGUGCGAAUGCUGACAUAAGUAACGAUAAAGCGGGUGAAAAGCCCGCUCGCCGGAAGACCAAGGGUUCCUGUCCAACGUUAAUCGGGGCAGGGUGAGUCGACCCCUAAGGCGAGGCCGAAAGGCGUAGUCGAUGGGAAACAGGUUAAUAUUCCUGUACUUGGUGUUACUGCGAAGGGGGGACGGAGAAGGCUAUGUCAGCCGGGCGACGGUUGUCCCGGUUUAAGCAUGUAGGCGGAGGUUCCAGGUAAAUCCGGUACCUUGUUAACGCUGAGGUGUGAUGACGAGGCACUACGGUGCUGAAGUGAUAAAUGCCCUGCUUCCAGGAAAAGCCUCUAAGCAUCAGGUAACACGAAAUCGUACCCCAAACCGACACAGGUGGUCAGGUAGAGAAUACCAAGGCGCUUGAGAGAACUCGGGUGAAGGAACUAGGCAAAAUGGUGCCGUAACUUCGGGAGAAGGCACGCUGAUAUGUAGGUGAAGCCCCUGCGGGCGGAGCUGAAAUCAGUCGAAGAUACCAGCUGGCUGCAACUGUUUAUUAAAAACACAGCACUGUGCAAACACGAAAGUGGACGUAUACGGUGUGACGCCUGCCCGGUGCCGGAAGGUUAAUUGAUGGGGUUAGCGGCAACGCGAAGCUCUUGAUCGAAGCCCCGGUAAACGGCGGCCGUAACUAUAACGGUCCUAAGGUAGCGAAAUUCCUUGUCGGGUAAGUUCCGACCUGCACGAAUGGCGUAAUGAUGGCCAGGCUGUCUCCACCCGAGACUCAGUGAAAUUGAACUCGCUGUGAAGAUGCAGUGUACCCGCGGCAAGACGGAAAGACCCCGUGAACCUUUACUAUAGCUUGACACUGAACACUGGUCCUUGAUGUGUAGGAUAGGUGGGAGGCUUUGAAGCGUGGACGCCAGUCUGCGUGGAGCCAACCUUGAAAUACCACCCUUUAAUGGCUGGUGUUCUAACGUAGACCCGUAAUCCGGGUUGCGGACAGUGUCUGGUGGGUAGUUUGACUGGGGCGGUCUCCUCCCAAAGAGUAACGGAGGAGCACGAAGGUUGGCUAAUCCUGGUCGGACAUCAGGAGGUUAGUGCAAUGGCAUAAGCCAGCUUGACUGCGAGCGUGACGGCGCGAGCAGGUGCGAAAGCAGGUCAUAGUGAUCCGGUGGUUCUGAAUGGAAGGGCCAUCGCUCAACGGAUAAAAGGUACUCCGGGGAUAACAGGCUGAUACCGCCCAAGAGUUCAUAUCGACGGCGGUGUUUGGCACCUCGAUGUCGGCUCAUCACAUCCUGGGGCUGAAGUAGGUCCCAAGGGUAUGGCUGUUCGCCAUUUAAAGUGGUACGCGAGCUGGGUUUAGAACGUCGUGAGACAGUUCGGUCCCUAUCUGCCGUGGGCGCUGGAGAAUUGAGGGGGGCUGCUCCUAGUACGAGAGGACCGGAGUGGACGCAUCACUGGUGUUCGGGUUGUCAUGCCAAUGGCACUGCCCGGUAGCUAAAUGCGGAAGAGAUAAGUGCUGAAAGCAUCUAAGCACGAAACUUGCCCC
rnacentral:rRNA from 1 species